GCAUGUGCCCUGCUGUCACUCAUACUGAGGACAUGGCCAGACAUCUGGAGUGAGAAAGGGAGGUGCACAGGGCACUGCAAUUACCAUGCAAACACAACGCCCAGCUUGGGUCCCCAGAAGAUGGCAGAGCCUAGCAGCCGGGCAGAGUGGACCGGAGGCCAGAAAGAGAAAUACUUUAUCCCAGGUGGGACAAACGGAGCCAAGGAAAAUUGCCAGACAGACCUGGUCCAAAGACAAACUCAGACUCUUAAGAACGAGGGGAGGAAAGGAAGCCUGGGUUCAGGGCAGGACUGAGAGCUCCCACCUCCCUGUCCUGAGCUCCUGACUUGAAGCCAGGGAAAGGGAUCCCACCUUGGGGACAAAGACAACUUCCUGGAGUCUACCAGAGCAGUGACCCAGAGCAAGGGAAGACUACUGGCCUUGAAGCUGACUGGCCCAGGCCUGGUCCAGGCACAUCCCUGCACACUGAGCUGACUGGCUGCGAAGGCAAUGCUGGUUAUGUCCAGAAGGGACAGUGAGCCAGGCACGCCCCUGUGGCACACUGAGGCCCUGCAUAGCCGAACGCCUGAGCCUGGGACAGCCCAUGGUCUCCUGUUCACCCAGCAUGGCUUCCCAGGUGCUGCCUGGGAAACCCGCCUCUGGCUGGAUGCCUGGGCCUGCCCUUCCCACACCACACACUGGAAACCUGACUCCCUGGGCCUUGUUUUCAGUCCCACACCCUCCCACAGCCUGUGAGUGCAGAAGGACCAGGAAGGCUGCUGCCUGUGGGGAAGCCGGAACUCCAGCAGGCCUGCCCAGCCAGGUCAGCUGGCCCCAGGAUGUGAAUUCGGUGCCCAAGUGGUCUCCUCGCUCAGGAUCCAUGAGUUGCAAGCAGUGCAUGUGAAGCAGCAGAGACCCAGUCCCAUUGCUCCCACGUUAAGGCCGGCUUCCUAUUGAGUUUGUCAGGCUCAGGGAAAGGAGGAUCCUGUGGGAUUUAUCUUUCCUGAGAAGCCAAGAUAAAGCAGAACCAGAUCUGUCUGGCCUUGGGGAAGGCGGGAGGUGGUGUGUCUCCAGCCACAGAGACCUGAAGUGCAAAUGGGCUCUCAAGUUCUCCUGUGAUCUUCCAUUUCUAGUGCUAGAUUUCCCCCUUGUUAAGAAGUCCAGUUUAAUUUCUUGCUCCACCUGCAUGGUAAAAAUAAUUAUGUACAGAGAUCUUGCUGCACUAAAACGCAGAGAUUCCACCUCUACCUUUGGUCAAGAGAAGCUUCAUGGACACAGAUGGGCAGCAUUUCUGUGUUUCUCUGCAGGCAGGUAAAUGAAACCACUGGGCCUGUCCUAGAGAGCAGCCUUCGAGCAGUGGCAAAAAUUAAGGGAUAGAAAUGAAGACAAAGCCCUGACAGGGAUUUCAUAGAGCCUGGGCCUGACACAGGGUUCCUACUGGAAAAGGGUGUCAGAGAUGGUCACCACACAGAACACCCUGACUUCAGGUGCAGGCCUUGGGACAACCUGGGGGAGGCAUGGAGAACCCUGUGAUAUAUCCCGCCCCCGGCAGUCCCUUGCCUCUCUGCCAUCCAGACGCCAUCCCUGGAUGCUCAGGACCACUGUCUGCAAAGGGAGGAGAGAUAGCUGCUGUCUCCAUGAGU
rnacentral:lncRNA from 1 species